ACCCACGAGCGUUGAAAAGCUCGGGGAUGACUUGUGGGUAGCGGUGAAAUUCCAAUCGAGCCCGGAGAUAGCUGGUUCUCCCCGAAAUAGCUUUAGGGCUAGCCUCAAGGUGAGAGAUACGGAGGUAGAGCACUGAAUGUCCUAGGGGGUAUUGCACCUACCGAAGACUAUCAAACUCCGAAUGCCGUCAUCUUAUACUUGGGAGUCAGACUGUGGGUGAUAAGAUUCAUAGUCGAAAGGGCAACAGCCCAGAUCGUCAGCUAAGGUCCCUAAAUGUAAGUUAAGUGGUAAAGGAUGUGGGAUUGCACAGACAACCAGGAUGUUGGCUUAGAAGCAGCCACUCAUUCAAAGAGUGCGUAAUAGCUCACUGGUCGAGUGAUCCUGCGCCGAAGAUUUCCGGGGCUAAAACUUACUACCGAAGCUACGGCAUCAGUAAUGAUGGGUAGGGGAGCUUCCCAUACGGGUUGAAGCAUGACCGUAAGGACAUGUGGACAGUAUGGGAGUGAGAAUGUUGGCAUGAGUAGCGAGAUGUGGGUGAGAAUCCCACAGGCCGUAAACCCAAGGUGUCCAGGGGAAGGUUCGUCCGCCCUGGGUUAGUCGGGACCUAAGCUGAGGCCGAAAGGCGUAGGUGAUGGACAACAGGUUGAUAUUCCUGUACUACCGAUAACCGUUUGAGAGAUGGGAUGACACAGUAGGAUAAGCUAAGCACACUGUUGGUUAUGUGUGCCCAAGCAUUGAGGCAGUCAAAGUAGGCAAAUCCGCUUUGAUAAUGCUGGGAUGUGAUGGGGAGCGAAAUUUAGUAGCGAAGUAGCUGAUUUCACACUGUCAAGAAAAGUCUCUAUCGAGGUUAAAGGUACCCGUACCGCAAACCGACACAGGUGGGUGAGGAGAGUAUCCUAAGGCCAGCGAGAGAACUGUUGUUAAGGAACUCGGCAAAAUGACCCCGUAACUUAGGGAUAAGGGGUGCCACCAUCAGGUGGCCGCAGAGAAUAGGCCCAAGCGACUGUUUACCAAAAACAUAGGUUUCUGCUAAGUCGCAAGACGAUGUAUAGGAGCUGACGCCUGCCCGGUGCUGGAAGGUUAAGGGGAUCUGUUAGAG
rnacentral:rRNA from 1 species